GAGGGGAAAACAAAAUCAGUGUAAAUUCCCGGCGAACACAAAAACUAAAACCCGCCGGUGCAAAAUAUGCCAUAAGAUGAUAAGGUGAUGCUUUGAAAACUGUGGGAGCUAAUUAGCUCUAAAGGGAGA